rnacentral:lncRNA from 1 species
GUCCUCAAUAUAUACUUUCUGAUGGCACAUGGGGCAGGUGUCCUGAAUGUACAGCCACUUCCGAAGACAAAGUGCAUGAAAGUAAUGGUUGCAUGGGGUAAUGCGAGCAGAUGUGGUGAACUCAUGAUAGCAGAUUGCACAUACAUCAUCUAUUUCACGGAGCCGGCUUCCUUUCACCUCUGGAAGGGAGUUUAUUUUCUUAACAGCAGUCCUGCGAUUUAUAAAAGUCUUCCAGCCAUUCUUUGCUUGCAAAUAGAUGUUGAAGUACGCAUGUAGACACAUCAUGCACGCGCGGAUCUUACUUCCCGAUUCAAAAACCAUUGUGUAGGCUCCAUUUCCAAACAUGAUGACUCCAAAUAUAAACUCAAUAAUAUUGCCAGUGGAGCGAACAUAAUAGACGUAAUCGUCCAGUUUUUCCCACAGCACGUUGUAGUAGCCAUCGAUCAUAAACAAUACAUAAACAGUGAUAGAAACGAUUACUUUCAGGCAGAGCUCUACACAGAACGCAGUAACUGCGAAAAGCCACGUGUUCAGUGCAUAGUGGUGCCAGAGGACGUAACUGAGCAGAACCGGCAGGAUGAAAAGGCAAGCUGAAACAAACAGCACGGGGAAGUGUCUGCGGAACGACGGCACGUGGGAGGCACUGAGAGACAUCAGCACGGGGUCUGUCAUUCCAUGGAUAAAAUGCAGGACUGCGGUGAGCAAAAGGCACAUGUUUCGGCUCAGACGAACUAGUCUUUCUUCUGGUUUCAGUCCGCUUAAACCAGUCUGCAGAGCCAAAAUGAAAAACAGAACAGGUGCUACAAAACCCAGCCUUUUAUCGUCCUCAUCGGUCGAUCCAAUGAAGGCCAAGAUGCCAAGUCCCAAAUAAUGUGCUAUGGAGGAAAUGACAGCACUCAUGCCUAACACAGUUAAGGUAGAAUCACACCCACUUAUUAUCAGGCUGCAGAUCAGUUCCCAACAAUUAUCCCAUGAUAUCAAGAAGAAUUUGUCUUCCGUAUUAGUUUCAGCCAUCUUUACAACAUAUGUCAAUACCACAGCUUGUGCUGUAAGUCUCGUCAGCCAGAAGACACGCAGUACAGCUGGAAAUCGAAUUCUUUUCCAUGUAUCUUCCAUCAAUAGCUGUAAUCCAUAAAUGCGAUACAUGUGCCUUACCAGCAGAUAAACAUACCGCACGGAGUAAUAGAACCACUUGAUUUUCGUAACUAAAAUGACUGUGGUAUUCAGUGUCAGCACUAGGCCUGAAAUAAAAACUAGCAUCUGUCGGACAUGUAAAGGUAGUUCAACAACCAAGCCAAUUACAGGAAUCAGUAUAUCCAGGAUGAUUAGCUGGGAAUAUAUGGACUGCAUGUUCAGCAAUGUAACGUAUCCGAUUCCAAAGGUAAGCUGAAGGAUGGAAAGCGCCAUCCAUAGCGAAGGUCCUUUAUGAGGGAAGAACUGAAUUCCAAAAGCUGCUGUGUAGUAGGCACUGUAGAAGUUUAUGUGCAAAGAAGCAUAGUAAUUCACCAACACUGAAGUUGCAGCCAGGAGAAAUGCUGAGGCGAUCAUAUAAAACUUGAAAAGUGCUCGCUGUUGUAACACCAGAACAAUGCUGGAUACAAAGACACCCAGCAGCCGCAGCAGCACGCCCAGCAGCGCGGCGCACACGGAGCCGCCCGGCAGCGGGGCCGAGUUGAAGAUGGCGUCGAUGAGGAACAGGCUGGGCACCCGCAGCGCGACCUCCAGCCCGGACCGCAGCCGCGGGCCCAGCCGCAGCCACGGGAGCUGCGGAGGGCCCGGGGCCGCCAUCCCCCGGCGAGGGGAAAAGCCGCCCGCGCCUCCCGCCUGCUCGAGAACGGAGGGGCGGCCGCGGGGGGAGCAAGGGAGCCCGGCGAGCCGCUACCGCCCCGCUCCCGCCGCCGCCCGGCCCGGCCAGGCCCCCCGGCGCGCCGCCGCCGCCUCCAUGUUCC